ensembl:lncRNA
AUGGGGUCAUCAUUGUCACCACAUCAUCCUUGUCAUCACAGCAUUGUCACCUCAGCAUUGUCAUCAUCACCACAACAUCGUCAUUGUCGCCACAGUGCCGUCGCUGUCACCAUAGCAUUGUCAUCGUCACCACAAUGUCGUCAUUGUCACCACAGCAUCAUCAACAUGGCAUCGUCAUUGUCACCACAGCAUUGUCACUGUCAUGACAUUGUCAUUCUCAUCACAGCAUCAUCGUCAGGACAUUGUCAUUGUCACCAUGGCAUCAUCAUUGUCACCACAGCAUUAUCACCACGUCAUUGUCACCACAGCAUCCGCAUUGUCACCACAUCGUCAUUGUCACCACAGCACUGUCACUGUUACAGCAUCAUUGUCACCACAGCAUCAUCCUCAGGACAUCGUNGCCACCUCCUUCCCAAUCCUGGCCACCUCCUUCCCAAACUUGGUCACCCUCUCUUCAGCCUUGGUCACCUGCUCCUCAGUCCUGGCCACCUCCUCUCCAAAUGGGGCCACCUCCUUCCCAAUCCUGGUCACUUUCUUCCCAAUCCCGGCCACCUCUUCCCAAUCCCGGCCACCUCUUCCCAAUCCCGGCCACCUCUUCCCAAUCCUGGCCACCUCCUUCCCAAUCCCAGCCACUCCUUCCCAAUCCUGGCCACCUCCUCCCUAAAUUUGGCCACCUCCUCUCCACAAGUGGCCACCUCGUCCCCACCCCUCCCUACCACACAAAUCCCUUCUAUUCCCACUCUCCCUCGCUCAGUGAUCCCAAUCCCCCUUUUCCUUCCCUCCCCACAGCCAAUUCCCUCGAUUUUCAUCCCAAAUCCCUGCUUCCCGUGGGAAUUUCCCCAGGAAAAGGCCCCAAGCCUACAAGGAAACAGGGGGGUGUUUUUCCAAGCUUUUGCUGGGAUGUGACACCGCUCCCGGGACACGGAAUUCAUUCAGGAUCGUAGAAAAAGAGGCAGUUUUACCCUAAAAGGAACUAAAACCCCAAAGGGCUCAAGUUUCUUCUCCUCCUCCCUCAGAUCUGUGGGAAUACAAAGGAAUUCAUGGAAUUGCAGAGCAGCACCGGAAACGCUCCUUUUGGAAGCUCGAGUUCCGCUUCCCAGGAGCCUUUUUGGGGUUAAAGAGAAACAAAGGAAUGAGAAAAGACAUAAAAAAAACCCUUGGAAAACUUUCCCUUUGGAUCCAGAGCUCCAAACUGGGAAACCUGAGAUGCUUCUGUGAGUCCCCAGGGGCCAGACCUCCUUGGAAAAGCUCCCCCGANAUGGUUCCCGUGGGAUGGGUGAGGGCGUGGCCAGCCGAGGAUGGGGCGGUUGGAAUUGCAUGGAUUCAGCCAAAGCCUGGAGGGUUGGACAGCGACAGAGCUGCUGGGAAAAGAGGGAACAGCGGGGAGGGAUUCGGGAAAGGACCAGGGAUUUGGGAAAGAGAGGAAUUUGGGAAAGACAGGCAAAUGGGAAAGGCAGGGAAUUCAGGAAAGGCAGGGAAAUGAGGGGAUUUGGGAAGGAGCGGGGAUUUUGGAAAGAGAGGAAUUUGGGAAAGGCAGGGAUUUGGGGAGGGCCAAGGAUUUGGGAAAGGCAGGAAAAUGGGAAAGAGGAAUUUGGGAAAGGCAGGGAAAUGGGAAAGAGGAAUUCAGGAAAGGCAGGGAAAUGAGGGGAUUUAGGAAGGGCAGGGAUUUGGGAAGGAACAGGGGUUUGGGAAAGAGAGGAAUUUGGGAAAGGCAGGGAUUUGGAGAGGAACAGGGAUUUGGGAAAGGCAGGGAAAUGGGAAAGAGGAAUUUGGGCAAGGCAGGGAAAUGGGAAAUGCAGGGAUUUAGGAAGGGUAGGAAUUUGGGAAAGUAGAAUUUGGGAAAGGCAGGGAAAUGGGAAAGAGGAAUUUGGGAAAAACAGGCAAAUGGGAAAUGCAGGGAUUUGGG